rnacentral:rRNA from 1 species
UCUACCUACGGGGGGCAGCAGUGGGGAAUAUUGCACAAUGGGGGAAACCCUGAUGCAGCGACGCCGCGUGAAGGAAGAAGUAUUUCGGUAUGUAAACUUCUAUCAGCAGGGAAGAAAAUGACGGUACCUGACUAAGAAGCCCCGGCUAACUACGUGCCAGCAGCCGCGGUAAUACGUAGGGGGCAAGCGUUAUCCAGAUUUACUGGGUGUAAAGGGAGCGUAGACGGCAGCGCAAGUCUGGAGUGAAAUGCCGGGGCCCAACCCCGGAACUGCUUUGGAAACUGUGCGGCUCGAGUGCGGGAGAG